UACGGAGGGGGCUAGCGUUGUUCGGAAUUACUGGGCGUAAAGCGCACGUAGGCGGCUUUGUAAGUUAGAGGUGAAAGCCCGGGGCUCAACUCCGGAAUUGCCUUUAAGACUGCAUCGCUAGAAUUGUGGAGAGGUAAGUGGAAUUCCGAGUGUAGAGGUGAAAUUCGUAGAUAUCAAGCGGAACACCGGUGGCGAAGGCGGCCUUCUGGACAGUAACUGACGCUGAGACGCGAAAGCGUGGGGAGCAAACAGG
rnacentral:rRNA from 1 species